CAGCCGUAAACUAUGCGCGUUAGGUGUACUGGUGACCACGAGUCACCGGGGUGCCGAAGGGAAACCGUGAAACGUGCCGCCUGGGAAGUACGGUCGCAAGGCUGAAACUUAAAGGAUUGGCCGGGGGAGCACCACAACGGGUGGAGCCUGCGGUUUAAUUGGACUCAACGCCGGAAAUCUCACCGGAUAGGACAGACAUAUGAUAGUCGGGCUGAAGACUCUACUUGAUGAUCUGAGAGGUGGUGCAUGGCGUCAGUGACU
rnacentral:rRNA from 1 species